GAUUUCCUGGACUGGGGAGUGGCUCUUUGCUUGCCAGCAUUUCAAAUCACGUCAGGCUGCGGGCUUUCAGAUCUGUGCAUUUCUUUGUGUGUGACUUACAGGUGGACUUAAAGGAACAGUUGGAGGGUGGGAGAGGGCUCAGACUAGAGUGUUGCUGUGCCUGUGUGAGGACCUGAGUCCUGAGCUCCAGAAUCCAUGUGCAACCUGGUGUGGGGGGGUAACCAUGGCGAUGGGGAGGCAGAGGCUGGUGGGUCCUGGAGACUGGCUGGCCAUUCUUUGUGUUGGAAAUUGGAACUCCAUGUUCAUAGAGACACCCUCUCUCAAAGAGACUGAAGAAGACACCUCUGGCCUUUACAUGCACAGGUGUCAAGCAUUUGGAGACUCCAUGGCCCUUCUCCUUGUCCCUUCUCACACAGCCUCUCUCUCCUCCCUGCCUCAGCCUGGCCUGUCCCUGGGUCAGCUGUAGUCCAGCCUGUCCUCUGGGGAGCUGAGAGGAUGCUCACCGGCUCAGCUCCAGCUUUAGCCUUUGAGGUCCCAACCUCAAGGCCUGAGAGCGGAUAGUGUGGAGACCAGCGGGUGAGCUGAACUCUGCUGGAUGAAAACAUCUCGGGGGCUGGGAUCUCCUGACAAGUACCGGCCUCUUCUCCCACCUGGAUGCUUCCGCUGAGCACAAAGGAAUCCUGGCCAUCUCCUGUGUGGACCAGCUGGGUCCCCUACAGUCUGUGGGCUCAGAGCAGCCUUUCAGUCUCCCCAUGAAGCAGGGAGCCAGAGAGCUGGUCUCUGGCCACAGUGGCUGUUCGAAGCUCCCACACCAUGGGGCUGACCUGCAGAUGCCCCCUGACCGACCCUGUAUCCCUUGGGCAGGUCACAGACCCUAAAACAGGAGGAGGACCCCUCCACCCUCCCCGCACCACCCCCAUACACAAUGACCCCACAAUGUUGAGUCUAAACAGGAUGAAACUUUGGCCUCUGUCACUAUUUUUCUUUAUGUUUUUAAUUAAAUUUCUGGGGUCACUGACACCCUGGAGCAAGAGAACUACAACCCCGCAGCUAGCUUGUUAAGGACACACCAUCUGUUUGUUCACACGGGGCGACCACAUGAUCUAUGCUCUGCAGAACAUCCUGUCUCACUGGCCUAAACCGGUUUGUGGGUGAAAUGCUUGGGAGGAAUUUCGAGAAGUCUCUCUUUCCCUCCUCUUCCUCUGCCUUUGUCUCUGUCUCUGUCUGUCUCUCUCUCUCCCUCCUUCCCUUCCAACCCUCCUCCUCCUCCUUCUUCUUCUUUUCUCUCUCUCUCUCUCUCUCUCUGUCUCUGUCUCUCUCUGUCUCUCUCUGUCUCUCUCUCUCUCUCUGUCUCUCUCUCUCUCUCUCUCUCUCUCUGUCUUUCUCCAGUCUUAUAAUGAGCUGUCAGGAAAAAAAAAUCAGCUCUUAGUAUCAACUCCAUUCCCUUUAUGCCAACCAUUGGUAGCACAACAUCACACACUGUGCACUGUAGGAGUCUAGUGGAGUUGCCUGGCUUCUGGUGGCACCCAGGGAAGGGAAAAGCUAAAAAGGUGGCACAGUCCAAUCAAAGAGGAGACUUCCGGUCAGGAAACACCCACAGUAUCCUCGACAUCCAACUAAGGCUCCAAGGGACCCUGGGACCCCAACCAGGAUAGAAGGGGACAGAGCCAGGAGCCCUCUGACUUUGACAAUAAACCUAUGAUUUAUUUUUGCCCAUAAAA